rnacentral:rRNA from 1 species
AUUGAACGCUGGCGGCAGGCCUAACACAUGCAAGUCGAGCGAGCGGCGGACGGGUGAGUAAUGUAUGGGGACUGCCCGCAAGAGGGGGAUAACUACUGGAAAAGGUGGCUAAUACCGCAUACUGUCGGAUAACCCAUAUGGGAGUAGUUAGUAGGGUAGGUAAUGGCUUACCUAGGCGACGAUCUCUAGCUGGUUUGAGAGGAUGAUCAGCCAAAAUGGGACUGAGAAACGGGCCAGACUCCUACGGAGGCAGCCGGGGGGAAUUUUGGACAAUGGGGGGAAACCCGAUGCAGCCCUGGCGCGUGUAUGAAGAAGGCCCUAGGGUUGUAAAGUACUUUCAGUCGGGAGGCGUUACCGACAGAAGAAGCACCGGCUAACUCCGUGCCAGCAGCCGCGGUAAUAC